UACGAAGGGGGGCUAGCGUUGCUCGGAAUGACUGGGCGUAAAGGGCGCGUAGGCGGAUGGCACAGUCAGAUGUGAAAUUCCCGGGCUUAACCUGGGGGGCUGCAUUUGAUACGUGUUGUCUUGAGUUCGGAAGAGGGUCGUGGAAUUCCCAGUGUAGAGGUGAAAAUGCGUAGAGAUCGGAAAGAACACCAACGGCAGAAAGCACUCUGCUGGGCCGACACUGACACUGGAGAGACGAAAGCUAGGGGAGCGAAUGGG
rnacentral:rRNA from 1 species